GAUGAACGCUGGCGGCGUGCCUAAUACAUGCAAGUCGAGCGAACAGACGAGGAGCUUGCUCCUCUGACGUUAGCGGCGGACGGGUGAGUAACACGUGGAUAACCUACCUAUAAGACUGGGAUAACUUCGGGAAACCGGAGCUAAUACCGGAUAACAUGUUGAACCGCAUGGUUCAACAGUGAAAGACGGUCUUGCUGUCCCUUAUAGAUGGAUCCGCGCCGCAUUAGCUAGUUGGUAAGGUAACGGCUUACCAAGGCAACGAUGCGUAGCCGACCUGAGAGGGGGAUCGGCCACACUGGAACUGAGACACGGUCCAGACUCCUACGGGAGGCAGCAGUAGGGAAGCGUCCGCAAUGGGCGAAAGCCUGACGGAGCAACGCCGCGUGAGUGAAGAAGGUCUUCGGAUCGUAAGACUCUGUUAUGAGGGAAGAACAAAUGUGUAAGUAACUAUGCACGUCUUGACGGUACCUAAUCAGAAAGCCACGGCUAACUACGUG
rnacentral:rRNA from 1 species